GAUGAACGCUGGCGGCGUGCCUAAUACAUGCAAGUCGAACGAAGUCUUCGGACUUAGUGGCGAACGGGUGAGUAACACGUUGGUACCUACCCCGAAGUGGGGAAUAACUGCCCGAAAGGGUGGCUAAUACCGCAUAAUACCGCAAGGUUAAAGCAGUAAUGCGCUUCGGGAGGGGCCUGCGUCCCAUUAGCUAGUUGGUAGGGUAAUGGCCUACCAAGGCGACGAUGGGUAGCUGGAUCGAGAGGUUGACCAGCCACACUGGGACUGAGGUACGGCCCAGACUCCUACGGGAGGCAGCAGUAAGGAAUCUUCCACAAUGGACGAAAGUCUGAUGGAGCAACGCCGCGUGCAGGAUGACGGCCUUCGGGCUGUAAACUGCUUUUAUACGGGAAGAUUAUGACGGUACCGUAUGAAUAAGGACCGGCUAACUACGUGCCAGCCGCCGCCGUAA
rnacentral:rRNA from 1 species